rnacentral:rRNA from 1 species
AAAUUGAAGAGUUUGAUCAUGGCUCAGAUUGAACGCUGGCGGCAGGCCUAACACAUGCAAGUCGAACGGUAACAGGAAUCAGCUUGCUGAUUCGCUGACGAGUGGCGGACGGGUGAGUAAUGUCUGGGAAACUGCCUGAUGGAGGGGGAUAACUACUGGAAACGGUAGCUAAUACCGCAUAAUGUCGCAAGACCAAAAAGGGGGACCUUCGGGCCUCUUGCCAUCAGAUGUGCCCAGAUGGGAUUAGCUUGUUGGUGGGGUAACGGCUCACCAAGGCGACGAUCCCUAGCUGGUCUGAGAGGAUGACCAGCCACACUGGAACUGAGAC